GGGGAUGUAGCUCAGUGGUAGAGCGCUCGCUUCGCAUGUGAGAGGCCUUGGGUUCAAUCCCAGACAUCUCCA
rnacentral:tRNA from 1 species